rnacentral:rRNA from 1 species
UACGGGAGGCAGCAGUCGAGAAUUUUUCUCAAUGGGGGAAACCCUAAAGGAGCGACGCCGCGUGGAGGAUGAAGGUUUUCGGAUUGUAAACUCCUGUCAUUGGGGAACAAUUGCACGGGUUUAACUGACCUGUGUUUGAUAGUACCCGAAGAGGAAGAGACGGCUAACUCUGUGCCAGCAGCCGCGGUAAUACAGAGGUCUCGAGCGUUGUUCGGAUUCAUUGGGCGUAAAGGGUGCGUAGGCGGCGAGGUAAGUUGGAUGUGAAAUCCCGGGGCUCAACCCUGGAACUGCAUUCAAUACUGCCUUGCUAGAGUACUGGAGAGGAGAUUGGAAUUCACGGUGUAGCAGUGAAAUGCGUAGAUAUCGUGAGGAAGACCAGUGGCGAAGGCGAAUCUCUGGACAGUUACUGACGCUGAGGCACGAAGGCUAGGGGAGCAAACGGGAUUAGAUACCCCGGUAGUCCUAGCAGUAAACGGUGCACGUUUAGUAUGGGAGGAUUCGACCCCUUCCGUGCUGGAGCUAACGCGUUAAACGUGCCGCCUGGGGAGUACGGUCGCAAGAUUAAAACUCAAAGGAAUUGACGGGG